rnacentral:rRNA from 1 species
GACGAACGCUGGCGGCGUGCUUAACACAUGCAAGUCGAACGGACAGGCCCUGCUUUUGUGGGGUGCUCGAGUGGCGAACGGGUGAGUAACACGUGAGUAACCUGCCCUUGACUUUGGGAUAACUUCAGGAAACUGGGGCCAAUACCGGAUAGGAGCUCCUGCUGCUUGGUGGGGGUUGGAAAGUUUCGGCGGUUGGGGAUGGACUCGCGGCUCAUCAGCUUGUUGGUGGGGUAGUGGCUUACCAAGGCUCUGACGGGUAGCCGGCCUGAUAGGGUGACCGGCCACAUUGGGACUGAAAUACGGCCCAGACUCCUACGGUAGGCAGCAGUGGGGAAUAUUGCACAGUGGGCUGAACCCUGAUGCAGCGACGCCGCGUGCGGGAUAACGUCCUUCGGGUUGGAAACCGCUUUCGCCUGUGACGAAGCGUGAGUGACGGUAAUGGGUAAAGAAGCACCGGCUAACUACGUG